CUAUACAUGCCGCCGGGUAUGUAGGGAGCUUGUUAUGCAUCAUUAGGCCUUAGAAGAUGCAUAAUAGGCCUUUUUUUGUAG
rnacentral:ncRNA from 1 species